CUUUAGUUUUUACCUAUCUCUCCCCCGCAGGGCAUGGACUGCCGUUUCCCGAAACACAGUCUCGUCUAGACAUGAUGGAAGAAAUCCAGGCUGGAUGCUGUGAACCAUCGUUUUGUCUAAGACACACUGAAAAACUGGCUGGCAGACCCCUGGACACCAAGUCAGGAAGGGAAGAGGAGGGAGGUUUGGAAGGGGAGCCACAAACUCCAAGUACCUUCAAGAGGCACUGCCACAUGGUGAGCAUCUUCUUCACCCCGUUACUGACUCCUUGGACAGUGACUCAGGGGAGAUUCCACAGAGCCGAGCUCAAGGGACCCAGCUCUCCAUGACUGUUUGAGUGACCUUCUCCAUUGAGAAAACCUGUCUGAGGGGUCCCCGGCGUCCUGGACGCAAUAGUGGGGAGUCUGGCACCCAUAGAAAGCAUCCUGGAUCUGGAUCACCUCCCCUGAGCCACAGUGCACGGUGGCAUUGAGGCUCUCGCAGGCCAGACUCUGGCCGACACCUGUGGCAAAGCUUUACAUCUUCAUCUCGAGACUGCUUUAUGGACGCAGCACAUUCCAUGGGGAAGGGUAGCCUCCUCUUCCUGCAUCCUUCCCCGGAUUACAAGGUGAAGUCUGUUACAGGAGCAAAUACCUGAGAAGUGAUACCUACGGUGCCAAUAUUGAAGCGAACAGGAUUGUGGUGUCAGAAUUUGGAACAAUGGCCUAUCCGGACCCCUGCAAAAACAUAUUUUCCAAAGCUUUCUCCUACCUGUCCCACACCAUCCUGAUUUCACAGACAACUGUCUGAUCAACAUCAUGAAGUGUGGAGAAGACUUCUGUGCAACCACGGAGACCAAUUACAUCAGGAAAAUCAACCC